rnacentral:rRNA from 1 species
GACGAACGCUGGCGGCGUGCCUAAUACAUGCAAGUCGAACGCAGUGGGGACUGGUGAUUAACACGUGGGUAACCUCCCAUCAGAGGGGAUAACACUUGGAAACAGGUGCUAAACCGAUCUUGAUGGAUGGACCCGCGGUGCAUUCGCUAGUUGGUGAGGUAACGGCUCACCAAGGCCACGCUGCAUAGCAGACUGGAAAGGGUGAUCGGCCACACGGGGAAGGAGACACGGCCCAGACUCAUACGUGAGGCAGCAUUAGGGAAUCUUCGGCAAUGGACGAAAGUCUGACCGAGCAACGCCGCGUGAGUGAAGAAGGUUUUCGGAUCGUAAAACUCUGUUGUUAGAGAAGCGGUAUCUAACCAGAAAGCCACGGCUAACUACGUGCCAGCAGCCGCGGUAAUAC